AUGGAGCCCCAGGGAUCUUUGCGGACGAGCGUCGUGCCGGGGACGCGCGCAUCCCCGCCUCAUUCCUGCCGGACCCUCCGCCAAGUAGCACGAGGCCUCCCGAGGACAGACACCCAUAAAGGCUGCUUGCCCGUCCUCUCCCCGGACGCCUCUCGACGUCUGGGGCAUUUUCGAGAGCCUGACCGGCCGGAAGGAGACGGUUCAUGGACCUGCACCCGCUCUUCCCUGCCCCCCGAAGGGCUCCCGAGAUCUUCUCCUUGCUCGGCUGGCCGUGAGCGCUCUGUGAGGCGUCUCCAGGCCGCGUCACUCACCCGAGGCCAGCGGUGCGGCCAGGGAACGGAGACGGGGAACGAAAGGCAAACCCACACCCAAAGUCCCAUCCCGAGAGGACUCUCCCACCCUCGCAGAAGUGGGAGGCCCUCGGACCGUGCCCAGGCCCGCUCAUGCACCCCAUCACCCCAUCCUCUCCAGCGACUUCCCAGCAGAGCCAGCCCUCGAGAGCUCAGCCGCUCAGGCACGAGCCCGUCCCAAGUGAACACCGAGACCCCGGGCACACUCCCAGGAGUGUGCCCCGCUCUUUCCCAGGAGGCUGCAUCACGCCCACGGCCGAGAGGAACUCGCUCCUCGUCGGAACUCUCGGUGCGUCACACAGGGCGUGCCGCACACAGCGUGUGCCUGGGCGUCUGCACGCAUGUGCGUCAGAGCCGACCUACCGCCACAGCCCCAGAGACGGCCGCGGCUUCUUGUUCUUCCCCUUGGUGGCUCUGGCCCUCCCGCUGGCACAAGGGCCGUUGCCGACGUUCUUCGGCCCCCGAGGCGGGGUGUCCGUGCUGGGACGGUCGAGCCGCUCGUGCUCCUGUUGGGGCGGCGUGCGGUUUCUCCCUCCUCCGUGUUUGGACUGGUGAAUCACGACUGCGCCGGCAGGCAGGGCAGACUGGACCUUCCGCAGCUCCAAGGCCGGCUUCGGUCGGCUGUGUUCUUGCAGGCGUCGCCACUGCUCUAAGCUCAUCCCUUCGACCUCUGUGUCCCCCGGGGACUCCUCCGACCCAGGAGCUCUGCCGCUGGCGUCUCCUGAGGCUGCCCGGGGUCUGUGGAGUCACCCCUCAAGAGGGCCUCUGA
rnacentral:lncRNA from 1 species